CUCCGUGUCUGGCUCUCCGCAGCACGGCUCUGCCCGGGAGGAGCCCCAGCCCUCCACGGUCGCUCAGGAAGCCGGCUCCCGGGCCCUGCUCGUUUCCGGCCCGGUGCAGCACCUCGACCGGCAGGGCUACCCGAGGGCUGGCGCACCGUGGCGCUCCUGCACAUUUGACCAGCGUGGGACUUCCCUGUGGUCCAGUGGGUAAGACUCUGCGCUCCACUGCAGGUUGGAUGGGUUGGAUCCCUGGUUGGAGAACCAAGAUCCCACGUGCGGUGACUAAGAGUUUGUAUGCCGAAAGGAAGACGGAAGAUACCGUGGUGGGCUGCGACUAAGACCCAGGGCAGUCAAACGCAGAAAUAUUUCUUAAAAAGAGUGACCCCUUCCUCUUCUCCCUCCUCACCACACCCUGGGGAGGCAGCCAGGAAAAUGACAGAGGCGUUGGGGGGUUUGGUGAGGUGUGCAGGCUCAGACAGAGGACCACGGAGGUGCCUGCGGUCUGGGCCUGGUCUCUACCCAUGCUGCCUCGCUCCUUCCCUGGCCCAGCACCGCCUCAUCCGCAGGGCAAGUGCCCAUCCGCCCACAGCACAAGCCAUGCCGCCCUGCUUGCAGAGCCUGACUGCCUGCAGUGGGCGGGCUCCUGCCGGUGUCCAUGCGUGAGCCUGCCUUUAACGCCCGCAAACACCCUCUGAGGUCACAACUCUUGCGGCCCCACUGACCGAGGGAGAAACUGAGGCUCAAGGGGUCAGUCAAGCUUUCCUCAGCCCCCCAGUCACCAAAGGGGUCCUGUCCAAGUCUGCUGCUGGACUGCAAGGGGUGAAGCGAGGUCUGGGAGACACGGUCAAGCCAAAGGGCCCCCCCUUUCCCUCCCUCCAUUCCCCCCUUCCUUUCUUCCAUCCAUCCACCAUCCUGCUUUCGCAAACCCCACUGCAGGAUCUCUGUGCUUAGCGAAUAAGGAGACUAACUCAGCACCUGCCCCCAUCCUCUGCCUGGACCAGGUGGGGUGCUCAGCCAACAUUUGAUGAGGGCCAGGGCCGAAUGCCUGGACCGCAGGUUCUGCCAGGUGUCCGUGGGGGGAUGGACCAGGCCUCCUCUGGCUUCCGGCUGCACAGGAAGACGGUGGCUGGGAGGGGCCCAGAACAGAGAGGGAUGCAGAUGCCAAAGAUGGAGGAUGGGUCUUUCCUGGCAACAGUGGGAGCUAAGAGUCAAGAUGCUGCUGCUCGUGGCCGCGGGGUCCUCAGGAGACAGCUGCUUGGGUAUCCCAGUGACGCCCAGGUGGUCAGAGCCCGUGGGCUGGCUCUGGCGGCACCAGGCUUGGGUCGCCUGGGGCCUCAUGGAACCCGGGCGGUUUCCCCCUCCGGAGAGGACAGUGCCAGCCUCCCGACUGUGGUGAGGAUUCAGGAACAAGGCCUAUCGUGUGCUGGUGGGAAUGGGCCAGUCACCCUCAGGGGGCACAAGGGGGCGAGGGCAGCGGGGCAAGGACCGCCGAGACAGAGACCAGCCCAGCAUGGCCAGGGGCAGCCGGAGAGCUGGAGGCUGGCACCCGCUGCCCCUGCCCACUGGGGGGGGUGUGGACCAGUGGGCCCGGGAGUCGACCUGGAGAAGGUAUACACCGCCCCAGGAUGGGGUGGUUCUGGGUGCAGUCCUGUGACCUGCAGCAGGAAGCCCCAAGGGAAGGGGCCGAGGGCGCGGCAGGUCCUUCCAUCUGGAGUCGGGGUCCCUGCUCUGGGCAGCCCGGGCUCUCCUGCCCAGCUGGGAUGGGCUCCUCUCCCAGUUAGCACCACACCCCUGGCUCCCGGCCCAAGGCCACACUGGGAGCUUGCUACCGUGCUCCUUUGCCAUAUCUGUGUUUAACGCCUAUGUCUGCCCUAGUCCAGAGGGUUGAGAAGAGUCGGACGUGACUUAGCAUGACUGAGCGCGCACACGUGCUGACCGUAAACCGUGAACUGCACCAGGACGCCCGCCACCCCGAUUGGCUGGCCUCGUCUCCUCCAGCCACACGUUCACCGGGCCCGGACUUGGUCCUGGGCACUGUUUCAGAUGCUGAGAAGACUUUGGAGAAUGGGCAGAAAACACACUGAUAACCCACAAAUAAGAGAAGCAGGCUGGAAAGCUGGGGCGACUGCGGCCACAGAGAUCAGAAGCCUAAAGCCACCGGUGGGCUCUCAGGAUGCAGCCCGGGACCCUCAGCAAGGUCGAGCGCUCCAAGCAGCUAAGGGCGUGGGUGGCAGAGGGCAGAUGAGCAAAAACAGCCCAAGACCCCAGACCCCAUGGCCACCCAGCCCAGCGGCCACAGACACGGAGCACGGGGCUGCAGGUGUGGGGCGGAGCCAGACACAAGGGCCACGGGACCCCUCUCCAGAUUGGGGAACCAGGGCAGUGGGGCAGUGGGGCCCCUGAUAGACAGACGGCUGUCUAACCCAGAGGUUCUCAAACUUACCAGCAGCACACCUUUUUUUUUCCUUUGGCCACACCACAAGGCUUGUGGGAUCUUAGUUCCCCUGACCCGGGAUUGAACCUGUGCCCCCUGCGGCGGAAGCACACCAGAGUCCCAGCCACUGGACCAUCAGGGAAUCCCCAGUCUGCCUCUUUAAAACACUUGUAAACCAA